UGUAUGAUUUCAAGGAGGACUUCGAGUGUACCGAAUUCAACGGUGUAUGCAAGCGAGCACAACAUGUGCACCCAGUUGUGGUUCCAUAGCACUUUGUCGACAAUGUACAGCUCGUUUGCUUGAGUCGCACCAUAUUCCAAAUGUGUCUUGGCGUCUUACAUCCCACCAGUCAAGUGGGUCAUUUUCACCAGUGAAUUGGUUUGGAACGCAGGAAGUCAAGCGACUUCUGUUAGUAAUGCCGGAACGCAUACUUUUACCUGUGAUGUGAUCGUCGGUCCUACUGAGCAGACAACAGCAAGUCCAUUCACUUGAGAUCAUAUAACUCCAGUUGAAAAUGGUGUAAACACUGUCACAAUGAGGGAGAUGUUAAGUGUUCCUGUGGUCCGAACACAUACAUAUUUUGGCAAGAAAAAUAAAGCUUGUACUAUUUAUAAACCAUUUGAAUUAACUUUAUUUAAAUAAUUUAAUAAUUUAUAUCAAUAAAGUUCAAAUUUUAAACUACAUUGGUUUCAAUUUUAUUUCACAUUGUGGCUGAGAAACCGUUAUCUCAAGAGAACAGACUACAGGUAAGUGCAAAUACAACCAACCUAAUAUUGGGAGAAUGUUUCAUAAGUUUAGUCGUCAAAACGUAGUGCGAAAAUCUUCAGAGUGUAGAACUGACGCAACGAGCCGGUACAUUUGGUGUACAAUAGCGGGUAGAACUGUCAAAGUAAGUAGCACCUGGACAGAAGUAGAGCGCUCCACUCCAGACGUUGCCAUUUAUGAAACAAUAAACAUACCUUAAUCAGAGAGAAGAUGUUAUAUGUAAGUACUGAAAAGAAGGAGUAUUAAAAUCUACUCACGCUUUACAUGUUGUUGUAAGAUUAUUGCCGACAGGAAAACGACCAUUUAUUAGUAUGGUUUGACAAUACGCAACUGGGUCGAAGAAGUAUCUACUCGUGGAAGUAGUACUGACAGUAGUACUUUCGGUGCAAUCGCCGACUGUA